UACGUAGGGGGCAAGCGUUGUCCGGAAUCAUUGGGCGUAAAGAGCGUGUAGGCGGUUCGAUAAGUCUGCUGUGAAAGUCCAGGGCUCAACCCUGGGAUGCCGGUGGAUACUGUCGAACUUGAGUCCGGAAGAGGCGGGUGGAAUUCCUGGUGUAGCGGUGAAUGCGCAGAUAUCAGGAGGAACACCAAUGGCGAAGGCAGCCCGCUGGGACGUGACUGACGCUGAGACGCGAAAGCGUGGGGAGCAAACGGG
rnacentral:rRNA from 1 species